ensembl:processed_transcript
AGCGUACUUACAUUUUCACCUUAACCUGCUGUACAUUCUGCGUUAUAUCCAAGUUAGUCCCACUUUGGCUCUCAGCUUGUUCCUCCCCGUCUAGGCUUGACUGCGAACCAACAAAAACUCGUUUAGCGAAGACUUUAUCGCUCUCUGACAGUUUGAGGCUUCUGCGUUUCACUUCACCGCUCUCAGAAUGCAACUGCUCAGGAGUAAAUCCCUCUGGAGUUUCCUUCUCUGGUACUUCAGUGCUUUCUUUUGAAGCAUGUGAGGUUUUGUUUGGAUCUGGAGCUCUAGAAGGAGCAGGAAUGUUGCUGGGAGCUUUACCGAGGGCAGAGUAACUCUCAACAGGGCAGGUCAGAGCAGCUUGUAAAGAAGAAAGUGAGUCAGUAAUGGAGCUCUCACUCUCCUCCUCUGUCAGUCUGAUUGUCAGAGGACGAUGAGGUUCUGGACUGUGAUCCCAGAGUCACUCCAACUAGUGCUGUGAAAUUCCCGCCGCUUGUGAUGGUACACCCUGAGCUUUCUGUUCACUUCCUUCACCAGAUCUUCAGUCUUCUUGUCGCCAGAUGUCUCAGCCUUGCUGACUUUAAUCACUUCCACCUCUUUCACGCUCCCUCGUCCACUACUUCCACUGUCUGCAAACGGAUGGACUCGAGAUGAUGUCCAGGCUCAGUAAGGAGUUGGUGCGUGAGCGCACUGGUGUGGGGCAGGUGUCUGUCAUCAGAUAGUUCUCCGUCUGGAUGCUCACCUGAUCAAAACUCCUGCGCAACAGAGAGACGAUUGUUACUGAGGUUUGCGAAAACAAUGACUCCCGGAUGCCCCAGUUUGGAAACAGAG